rnacentral:rRNA from 1 species
CCUACGGGAGGCAGCAGCAACGAAUCUUCCGCAAUGCGCGAAAGCGUGACGGAGCAAUGCCGCGUGCAGGAUGAAGCCCUUCGGGGUGUAAACUGCUGUCAGGGUUUAGCAACACAAUGAGCAGACCCAAAGGAAGGGCCGGCUAACUUCGCGCCAGCAGCCGCGGUAAUACGAAGGGCCCGAGCGUUGCGCGGAAUCACUGGGCUUAAAGCGUACGUAGACGGGCAUGCAGGUAUCUUGUGAAAGCCCUCGGCUCAACCGAGGAACUGCUUGGUAAACCGCAUGUCUUGAGGCAAGUAGGGGCUGUCGGAACGAUAGGUGGAGCGGUGAAAUGCGUUGAUAUCUAUCGGAACGCCGAAGGUGAAGACAGGCAGCUGGGCUUGUUCUGACGCUGAUGUACGAAAGCGUGGGGAGCGAACGGGAUUAGAUACCCCGGUAGUCCACGCCGUAAGCGAUGUGCACUAGAUCGAGGGGGUUCUGACGCCAUUCUCGGUCGAAGCAAAAGUGUUAAGUGCACCGCCUGGGGAGUACGGUCGCAAGGCUAAAACUCAAAGGAAUUGACGG